GUGGGGAAUAUUGCGCAAUGGGGGAAACCCUGACGCAGCGACGCCGCGUGAGUGAUGAAGGCCUUCGGGUCGUAAAGCUCUGUUGCAGGGGAAUAAAAAAAUGAAGGUACCCUGUGAGGAAGGAUCGGCUAACUUCGUGCCAGCAGCCGCGGUAAGACGAGGGAUCCUAGCGUUGCUCGGAAUCAUUGGGCGUAAAGAGGGCGUAGGUGGCUUGGUAAGUCAGGUGUGAAAGCCCAGGGCUCAACCCUGGAAGUGCAUUUGAUACUGCUGAGCUUGAGUGUCGGAGAGGUUACCGGAAUACCUGGUGUAGUGGUGAAAUACGUAGAUAUCAGGUGGAACACCGGAGGCGAAGGCGGGUAACUGGACGAACACUGACACUGAGGCCCGAAAGCGUGGGGAUCAAACAGGAUUAGAAACCCUAGUAGUCC
rnacentral:rRNA from 1 species